UAUGUCUCUAUCGAUUUUAAGCUUCACGAAAAUUUCGCCGUUCACUUCGACGAUUCUCAAUCUCUCAUAUUCCCCCUUUCUUUCUAAUUUCACAUUUAGGGUUUCAAAUUAAUCGGAGUUUGAUAUCUCUCGAACCAGGGCUUUCCAAUGGCAUAAUCUGCAUUCUUCCUCCGCCGUCUCCCCUGAUUUCCUCUGAACCAGUUCUUGGCUAAUAUAAAAGAGGAGGAGACAAUGGACGAAGAAAUGGAGAUUAUGCAGGAAUUGCUUGCAGAUGAAGAUUCGUUUUCGAAUGAUAUUGAUUCCGAAUACGAGUUUGAUUCUUGUCAGUUUUUUGAUUUUACGAGAGGCGAAACGGAAUCCGAAGCGGAAGAAGCCGAGAGCUGGUUCCGAUACGCUCAUGAAUAUCCACCUUCUCCCUUCAUUCUGAAGUUAAAGAUGAUGAAGGCAGCAAAAGCCAAAGCCAAUCAAAUGAAAUCUCAUAAAACCAGCUUCAGAAAAAAAACUAGUACAUCCAGUAUUUCAGAUGGUGGUGACAUUGAUCAUGAAGCCCCCUCAAAAGAAGCAAAAAUCAAAGGUGUGAAGCAUCAUAAUCAUAUGCCUCAAGACAAUUCAAAAUCCAAGUCAAAGUCCACAGUCAACUCAUCUAAACCAAGUGGUUCAUCAUUCAUGAAACCAACUGCUAGUCAUUUAGCCAAACAAAAUAAAGAGCGUGACACAAACACACAUUCUGGAGGCCAUGGAAGGGUGCAGAAGCCAUUAGUUAGCCCUGGUGAAAAGUUAACAUCUCCUCCUAGCAUAUCUUCAAACCAACCUACCAAAAGACAAAAGCUAGAAAUUGGUUAUUUGCGUAAGGUUGCCCAAUUGAAACAUCGCACUACAUUUAUUCACAAGAUUGUGAAGAAGGUUGCAGAAAUGGAGAGCAACUCAAAUUCUAGAUGUAAUAAAACUACAAUUCCUCAAAAACCUGAAUUGGUAACAGAAGGAAAAGCUCAAAAGCUUAGGUCCCAUAAUAAACCUGAAGCAUUUCAACAACCAAAAGCAAACAAUCUUAAAUCACAAUCAUUCAACAGAAAAGUUAAUGCUUGUGAUAAUUUAACACUCUGUAAACAAAAAUCCGCUCCUCCAAUGAUUGAAGAGAUACUGAUUCAGAGCAAAAACUUUGGAAAUGAUAAAUCCAGAUCACCAAAUAAUCUAAAAGCUUCCAAUAGUGCCAAGGUACACCCAAUUAAAGAAGGUGGAUUUAUGUUAAACUCAAAGCAAAAUUCACAUAUGCCACCAAUAGAGUUAUUCAAAAAGCUUUCUUUGAAAAAUGAAUCGGAUACUAAAGUUAUAUCCUUUGUAAGGCCACCUCGUUUGAGUAAGGGGUUAAAGGAGAAUGUGCCUAGAUCUUUUCAACAGGAGUUUAGGUUGAGAUGUAUAUAGAGGUGUGCUGGGAAGCCAAAUCAGUGUGGAAACGAUAGGAGGAUCACUGAACUUAAGACCUAAUUAACAGGUUGUUUGAAAAUGGGUUGAAGAUAUACAUGCAAUUUAUGUAUUUUUGCUUCCACAUUUUGAAAAAAAAAAAAAAAAAAAAAAAAAAACACAAAUAGCGUUUGCUAAUUGCUAUUGAUAGAGUGGAAGAUUUAACAUUGUCAUGUACAAAAGAAAAGAAAAGCGGAAUACAUACACAGAGCAGCUCAUCAAAUCCCAUGUGGCCAACCACGGUUCAAUUGUUAUUCAAUGAUAUAUACAUACAUACAUUAUAUAUAUGUAAUAAAUGUUUUUUUAAUUACAUAUAAAUUUAACCAA